rnacentral:rRNA from 1 species
UCUUUUCCUUUUGUGCCCGCCGCCGCGGUAAUACGGAGGAUGCGAGCGUUAUCCGGAUUUAUUGGGUUUAAAGGGAGCGUAGACGGGUUUUUAAGUCAGCUGUGAAAGUUUGGGGCUCAACCUUAAAAUUGCAGUUGAAACUGGAGACCUUGAGUACGGUUGAGGCAGGCGGAAUUCGUGGUGUAGCGGUGAAAUGCUUAGAUAUCACGAAGAACCCCGAUUGCGAAGGCAGCCUGCUAAGCCGCCACUGACGUUGAGGCUCGAAAGUGCGGGUAUCAAACAGG